rnacentral:rRNA from 1 species
UACAGAGGGGGCAAGCGUUGUUCGGAAUUACUGGGCGUAAAGGGCGCGUAGGCGGCCUGCUAAGUCGAACGUGAAAUCCCUGGGCUCAACCCAGGAACUGCGUCCGAUACUGGUUGGCUUGAAUCCGGGAGAGGGAUGUGGAAUUCCAGGUGUAGCGGUGAAAUGCGUAGAUAUCAGGAGGAACACCGGUGGCGAAGGCGGGUCUCUGGGCCGAUACUGACGCUGAGGAGCGAAAGCGUGGGGAGCGAACAGG